AGGGUGUAAACGCUGCCGACUUGGUGUUGGAGGCCCUUCGGGGGCAUUCAGUGCCGGAGAGAAGUUGUUAAGUCGGCCACUUGGGAGUACGUCCGCAAGGAUGAAACUUAAAGGAAUUGGCGGGGGAGCACCGCAACGGGAGGAGCGUGCGGUUUAAUUGGAUUCAACACCGUAAAACUCACCAGGGAAGACUGUUACAUGAAGGCCGAGAUGAAGACUCUGCUAGAUUUUCAGAGAGGAGGUGCAUGGCGUCAGUGAU
rnacentral:rRNA from 1 species